rnacentral:lncRNA from 10 species
GCCUUUGCCACCUCUCAUCUUCCCGGACUCCCCUCCUCUUUCCACCCACGCGCUCUUUACCAAGUAAAGUUCCUUCCCUUCCGUCUGGUCUUAGAAAUGACUCUUGGUUACCUGCACACAGAACAGCUUUCAGGAGCAACUUCUUUUCAGUCUCCUGUUUUACUACCAAAUCCUGGUGCCUGGAAACCACCACACGCAUCAAAAAUUCCAGAAAUAAACAGUCUCUAAGAAAUAAGGUGCUGAUUGUGCAGAAAAACGUACAGUUAAGAAAGACCUUGAAAGACGUUAUAGUAAGUUACAGUACAAGUUACGUGCUCGUUUAUUUGUUGAGUGAAGAAUCCGCCGUAUUGGAAGCAAAGGGACGGAAUGGGGGCGGGGAGGGAGGAGAAGAGGUGCCAUCAAUUAAAAAUGACUCCCACAGCCAGUGAUUUAAGUUGUCAAAAAAAGUUACGCCCUUUUUUCUUCAAAAAGGUUUUUUGUUUUCUGUAGAAACACAUUACAUGUAAACGUAUACGAUGAAGUUAAAUCAUCUUACCUAGAAAUCUGGGUUAGUAAAAAUUAUUUAAGAGGAUGAAGAAACAGGAAGGUGCUCAGCACCCAAUAAUUUGCUGUUCGGGUGACAUCUUCAAAAGUCUUCUUUGGAGUCAUUUUUCCCCCCAGCAAAACGUUUAUCGUAGCAUGCAUCCAUUUGAAAAGACAAACGGUCCACAUUUUCUGACUAACAAAGGACUCUUUUUUGUCUGAAAGGUCAGUUGCUCUCUUUAGAGUUUCUUUAUAGUAACGCAAGGUUUUCUUCAAAUACUGUAAGAAAGUUUUCAGAAUUUCUUGGAGAGGCAGCAUUCAAAGACUGUGUUAACCCUAUACAACAAGUAAAUAACAACUAACUACCCAAAAAUAUUAUUAAAUUUCAUCUUGAUUAGAUCUUUGGAAGAAAAUUUUCUUUGAUUCCUCCCCCUUCCUCUAGAUCUCCAGUCAUUUAGUUCUUGUUGGCUCUUUAAAGUGUCUGUGUAUGGUCAGUUACUCUGUUCUCACUGCCACUGCAGAGCCAAAAUUACCUCAUACCCGGACUAUUAUUACAGAAGCUUCCCAGCCAGUCUCCCAACCUUCAGUCUCUUAAUUGUCCCAUCACCAAUAAAUUAUCAGCCAUCAUCAAUAAGUCUUACAAAAAUACUCCUCUUGCUCAAAAGCCUUCAGCAGCUAACGAAUAAAAUCUAAUUCUUUGCAUUUAAAGCUGUAUAACGUGGACGCGACCCUGUUCUCUAGCCAACACCCCAAGCGAAUUACUCUUCAGCCCAUUCUCCAAACAUGGGUCAUGGCUUUCAACUUCCACAUCUUUAUGCAUACUGAUCCCUCCCCCAAUAAUCUUCUGUCUGUCUACAUUCAUCUCAGAAAAUCCUACUCCCCCAAGAGUGAUUGGUAGGGGAUGUCGGGGGCUUCUGGAAUACUGUACUAUUCUCUGUGGGUGCUGGUUACAUAUCUAGUGUUUUCAGAUUGUGAAAAUUCAAUGAGCCUGUACUGUAUGCAAUAUAUUCUCUUUUAUGUGUGUGUUAUGCUUUAACAAAAAGUUUGUUUUUAAGUGUAUGUCCCUUCCAAGUGCCCUCCUCUCUAUAGAACCUUCCCUGAUCAAGUAACUGGAAGUGAUCUCUCCAUCCUCCAAAUAGUUACAGCAAUUAUACCUCUCAUAUGAUACUAACACAUAUGAGCUGAGCAAACCUUAUUUCAUUACUGGACUUCAAUUUACUUAAAAUUGGGGAAUAACUGACAUAUAUUUGAAUUCCCUAGAAUGCUUAGCAUGUUAUAGGUGUUUAAUAAAUAUUUCUGAAUGAAUUGAUGCAUUCUUAUUGA